UGCCUAGCGGCGGACGGGUGAGUAAUGCUUAGGAAUCUGCCUAUUAGUGGGGGACAACAUUCCGAAAGGAAUGCUAAUACCGCAUACGUCCUACGGGAGAAAGCNNGGGACCUUCGGNCNUUGCGCUAAUAGAUGAGCCUAAGUCGGAUUAGCUAGUUGGUGGGGUAAAGGCCUACCAAGGCGACGAUCUGUAGCGGGUCUGAGAGGAUGAUCCGCCACACUGGGACUGAGACACGGCCCAGACUCCUACGGGAGGCAGCAGUGGGGAAUAUUGGACAAUGGGGGGAACCCUGAUCCAGCCAUGCCGCGUGUGUGAAGAAGGCCUUUUGGUUGUAAAGCACUUUAAGCGAGGAGGAGGCUACUAGUAUUAAUACUACUGGAUAGUGGACGUUACUCGCAGAAUAAGCACCGGCUAACUCUGUGCCAGCAGCCGCGGUAAUACAGAGGGUGCGAGCGUUAAUCGGAUUUACUGGGCGUAAAGCGUGCGUAGGCGGCUGAUUAAGUCGGAUGUGAAAUCCCUGAGCUUAACUUAGGAAUUGCAUUCGAUACUGGUCAGCUAGAGUAUGGGAGAGGAUGGUAGAAUUCCAGGUGUAGCGGUGAAAUGCGUAGAGAUCUGGAGGAAUACCGAUGGCGAAGGCAGCCAUCUGGCCUAAUACUGACGCUGAG
rnacentral:rRNA from 1 species